rnacentral:rRNA from 1 species
GACGAACGCUGGCGGCGUGCUUAACACAUGCAAGUCGAACGGAAAGGCCCUGCUUUUGUGGGGUGCUCGAGUGGCGAACGGGUGAGUAACACGUGAGUAACCUGCCCUUGACUUUGGGAUAACUUCAGGAAACUGGGGCUAAUACCGGAUAGGAGCUCCUGCUGCAUGGUGGGGGUUGGAAAGUUUCGGCGGUUGGGGAUGGACUCGCGGCUUAUCAGCUUGUUGGUGGGGUAGUGGCUUACCAAGGCUUUGACGGGUAGCCGGCCUGAGAGGGUGACCGGCCAAAUUGGGACUGAGAUACGGCCCAGACUCCUAAGGGAGGCAGGAGUGGGGAAUAUUGCACAAUGGGCGGAAGCCUGAUGCAGCAACGCCGCGUGCGGGAUGACGGCCUUCGGGGUGUAAACCGCUUUCGCCUGGGAAGAAGCGUGAGUGAAGGUAAUGGGUAAAGAAGCACCGGCUAACUACGUG